rnacentral:rRNA from 1 species
GACGAACGCUGGCGGCGUGCUUAACACAUGCAAGUCGAACGGAAAGGCCCUGCUUUUGUGGGGUGCUCGAGUGGCGAACGGGUGAGUAACACGUGAGUAACCUGCCCUUGAUUUUGGGAUAACUUCAGGAAACUGGGGCUAAUACCGGAUAGGAGCUCCUGCUGCAUGGUGGGGGUUGGAAAGUUUCGGCGGUUGGGGGUGGACUCGCGGCUUAUCAGCUUGUUGGUGGGGUAGUGGCUUACCAAGGCUUUGACGGGUAGCCGGCCUGAGAGGGUGACCGGCCACAUUGGGACUGAGAUACGGCCCAGACUCCUACGGGAGGCAGCAGUGGGGAAUAUUGCACAAUGGGCGGAAGCCUGAUGCAGCAACGCCGCGUGCGGGAUGACGGCCUUCGGGUUGUAAACCGCUUUCGCCUGUGACGAAGCGUGAGUGACGGUAAUGGGUAAAGAAGCACCGGCUAACUACGUG